rnacentral:rRNA from 1 species
GACGAACCGUGCGAACGUUGUUCGGAUUCACUGGGCUUAAAGGGUGCGUAGGCGGGUCUUUAAGUCAGGGGUGAAAUCCUGGAGCUCAACUCCAGAACUGCCUUUGAUACUGAGGAUCUUGAGUUCGGGAGAGGUGAGUGGAACUGCGAGUGUAGAGGUGAAAUUCGUAGAUAUUCGCAAGAACACCAGUGGCGAAGGCGGCUCACUGGCCCGAUACUGACGCUGAGGCACGAAAGCGUGGGGAGCAAACAGG